CCUACGGGAGGCAGCAGUGAGGAAUAUUGGUCAAUGGGCUUACGCCUGAACCAGCCAAGUCGCGUGAGGGAAGACUGCCCUAUGGGUUGUAAACCUCUUUUGUCAGGGAGCAACGCCGGCUACGUGUAGCCGGACUGAGAGUACCUGAAGAAAAAGCAUCGGCUAACGCCGUGACAGCAGCCGCGGUAAUACGGAGGAUGCGAGCGUUAUCCGGAUUUAGUGGGUUUAAAGGGUGCGGAGGCGGACUGUCAAGUCAGCGGUAAAAGCGCGGGGCUCAACCUCGCUCCGCCGUUGAAACUGGCAUUCUUGAGUGGGCGAGAAGUAUGCGGAAUGCGUGGUGUAGCGGUGAAAUGCAUAGAUAUCACGCAGAACUCCGAUUGCGAAGGCAGCAUACCGGCGCCCAACUGACGCUGAAGCACGAAAGCGUGGGUAUCGAACAGGAUUAGAUACCCCAGUAGUC
rnacentral:rRNA from 1 species